ACUGCUUCCCACUCCAUCUUCUCUUAGGUAGACUUUAUUAUCAGUUACUUGAUUAUUCUUCUAGAGUUUCUGUAUGUGUGUACAGGCAAAUACCAAUUUAUAUGCAUGGCUUACGUUUAAAAGGUGUCUUGAAAAUAAGCUACCCCCAAGGUUGAUCUAUGUGAGCAUGCCCAGUCAGCUUAUAGGAACUUCUAAUAUAAUGAAGUAUGGCAUAGUUUUCUCUGGUGGUUGAAUCCACCUCGGGGACACCUUUUUAUCAGAGCUGGUGAAAAUAGAGGGUCGGUAACCCAUGUGAAAUUGCUCCUGGUCAUAAGUAAAUCAGUAGAGUGCCUUGCACUUUAUUCAUCUUUAAACAGUUAUGUUUAGAUGAGAGAUAAAUAGUUUGAAUCUUUUAUCUCCAUCUCUAACCCUUUGGGCUUUUAUUUGACUUUGAAGUGUCUGGGUUUUAGAAAUUGCAUUCUGAGCAUCAGAAUGAGAAUUGCUAUUUGUUUACUUUUAGAUGCCUGUCUUAGAUGUCAAGCUGAAAACAAACAAGAGGAUUGUGUUGGUAUGUUGUAAUUUCAUUCUCUUGCUUUUUCAACUGAAGGUUUUCUCUCAGUGGGGAUGUUUGAAUUUGUGAUUAAGAUUGACUUUAUCAAUACAUAAAAAUAAACUGUAAAGCAGUGAUCUAUUAUUAAAGUAAAAUGUGUUAGUUCUCAAAAGGCCUUAAUGGAAUUAAUCUGCAAGUUCUUUUAUUGCCUGUAAUUAAGAAGAAUUGAUUAUAUAUUCCAGACAUGGCCAUAGUAAAUAUUUGAUAACCAACAAAGAAAUAAUUCUUUUCUGUUAAGAAAAUUUUAAGGGAUUACCAAAAUGUCAUUUAAAUUUUACCUGUGUUAUAGGUCAGAUUUGGUAGGGUUUUAUUCUAAUAAAGCAUUGCAGUUUUCAGUACUGUUAUUAUUCAGUAUUUAACUUUUCAGCCAACAUAGAAAAAAUUCUAAGUGCUCUCUUUUGCAAUAUAGUUUGUAUAUGGAAAUCUGUUGAAUUUUGCUAAUAGCCUGGGACUACAAAAGUUGUUUUAGGAUAAAUAUUUUAAGCAGUUCAAAGGUUUUUAUGUCCUAGUUCUUGAAGUCAUCACUUCUAGAUUGCUAUGUAUAAAAGCUUUUCUGAAAAUGAAAGGUUAACUUUGUACUUUGUGUUUGCAUUGUUUAUAUAUAGCUUUUUAAUAAUGAUUUAUUCAGUAUUUAUCAAAUCCUGUUUCUUCCUUCUGAAACAUUUACAGUGAUUUCCUUUUGCUUCCUACUCCCUGUAGCCAGUUUUCAUAAGAAGUUGGUUAUUUUUUUCUUUUUUUCCAUGUUCUUUCAUUGUUCUGUUAUCAUAUAGGUCAAGCAAGGGACAAAUAAAGCCCACAUUUGAGAUUGCAUUUCAGAUUAUGGGAGAUUGCCCUUGGUUUAAGAAAUAUUUAACUUGAGAAUUGUGAGGUUUAGGGCACCUUUCUUUGAUCACAGAAAGUCCUCUGUUUCUAGCCAGCCACUUUGAAAAGUUCAUGUGUUUGUCACAUGAGGAAUUGCACUGCUUAUGGAUGACAUCAACACUUCUAGAAAAUAACUGAGUAGAUGUACAGCUGAUAAUGUUUAGAAGUAUGUCAUCUAUUUAUAACAGAUUACUAUGAACUGAAAACUCAUGUUGGUAAAUAAAAAUCAGGAGGAUAUUUUUCAAUAAAAUAAAGAUCAAAAGGUCUCCAAGGUCAGUCUUUGACUGAGAAGGUCUGGGAUCUAAGGAAGGCUCAAGUUCUUUAAUCUCCUAACUUCAGGAAGACAGCAUGUGGAGCUGUGUAGGGGCUGGGGGCCACCACAUCACUCACAGACUCUAAACAAUGAUGAAAAAGUCCCCCAGUCACAGCGCCUCAUCUCACUUCUUAAGUGUGGUUUACACAGGUAAGUUGUUAUUUUCUUUAUAGAUAGAAAAAAUGUUGACUAAUUAGCCAUCUUUAUUCAAGAUUAUGAAUCAUGAUUAUUCUUCAUAAUAUAAAAUAACCUGUAAUUUUGAGUUGGAUAAUUUAAAUUAAAAUAUGUAAUGUCAAAUAUUCCUUUUUUUUUUUCCUUUCAGUGGUCUGGGGAGAAUGUAAUCAUUCCUUCCACAACUGCUGCAUGUCCCUGUGGGUGAAACAGAACAAUCGCUGCCCUCUCUGCCAGCAGGAUUGGGUGGUCCAAAGAAUCGGCAAAUGAGAGUGGAGGCUUUCUUAGUGCAUUUGUUUGGAGCCCUGGUGGAUCUUGUUAUCAAGUGCCCUACAAAGGCCAGAACACUCCAGGGAACUAAUUCUUCAAAUAGGAGGAGAUGGCUCUGUGGUCCUUUGGUACUCAUCAAAGGCAUGGCUUAGCAUUUUGUUUUAUUUUCAGAAAUUCUCUACAAUUAAGAAGAUAAUUUAUUAAAGAUGGUCUUUCCUACCUCUGUGGUAUGUAUCCCACACACUGCUUAGAAGUGCUUUAAAGGAGGAGAGAGCUACAAAUUUAAUGACUUUAUAAUUUGCUUAUUGGUAUCCCCGGGGGUUGUGGAAGUAGUUCCAUUCAGAAGAGAACUUGUUGCAUGCUUAUAGUUGAUCAGUUAAAAAAAAAAAAAGACAAUGUUACAGAAACAAAUAAAGUGCAGUUUAAAACCCAACUCUUAUCCUUAAUUUGUUCCUCAUAUUUAUUUUUGGCUGGGAGGGGGUGAUUCAUGAAGUCUUUGUAUGAUAUAAUGAAAAUUUUAAGUUUGGACCAGUGAACAGGGUAAAUAAAAUUUAAUCUUCAGGCAUAUGGAAUUGUGGUUGUCUUUUAGGCUAUUAUCCUCUAUCUUUGGUUCAUCAAGAAAACCUAAAUCUGCACUCACCUCACUGUCCAAGCAUUGAAUGGUAAAGAACAGAAGUAUUUGUUCUGGUCAGAUUAUGUUGUUAUUUAACUGUUUUAGGUGGAAUGUUAAUGAGGGGAAAAUGUUUACCACUGUAGCACUGGGUCAAAAAGUUUAUUUUAUUACACAGUGUUUUAAUAAAUGGUUUAUUCU
rnacentral:lncRNA from 1 species